ACGCUGGCAGAAUGCUUAACACAUGCAAGUCGUGCGGUAACACUUCGGGUGACGAGCGGCGGACGGGUGCGUAACGCGUGAGAAUCUACCAUUUAGUGGGGGACAACCCGGGGAAACUCGGGCUAAUACCGCAUGUGUCCUACGGGAUAAAGCAGGGGAUCUUCGGACCUUGCGCUAAAUGAUGAGCUCGCGUGAGAUUAGCUUGUUGGUGAGGUAAAGGCUCACCAAGGCAACGAUCUCUAGCUGGUCUGAGAGGAUGAUCAGCCACACUGGGACUGAGACACGGCCCAGACUCCUACGGGAGGCAGCAGUGGGGAAUAUUGGACAAUGGGGGCAACCCUGAUCCAGCAAUUCUGCGUGUGUGAAGAAGGCCUGCGGGUUGUAAAGCACUUUCAGUAGCCAAGAUGGGAUUAAGUGUUAAUACCACUUAGUCUUGACAUUAACUACAGAAGAAGCACCGGCUAA
rnacentral:rRNA from 1 species